UAUCUCAGCACUAUUUGUUGAACAGGGUGUCCUUUCCUCAUUUUGUUUUUGUUUGCUUUGUCAAAGAUCAGUUGGCUGUAAGUAUUUGGCUUUAUUUCUGGGUUCUCUAUUCUGUUCCAUUGGUAUAUGUGCCUAGUUUUAUACCAGUACCAUGCCGUUUUGGUGACUAUGGCCUUAUAGUACGGUUUCAAGUCAGGCCGGAGCAUGUAAUUGCUGGAGUGGGAUCCUUCAUGGAUUUCUCUUAUCCUGGCAUUGACAAUGAUAGAAGAGGAGGCCCCUCCUUCUACCUGGGUAACUGUGAUUAACAGACACAGAAUGGACGUGUGCUGAGAAAGAAAUCGUUGCUAUGUUAAGAUAAGCACAACAAAGCCACCUGAUUACAGUGAACAGAUUACUAGGAAGUCGAAGACUGUUUCUGCAUCUGGGGGCUGUAAUUAGAUCUCCUGGUUUAUUUCCAACCAGGCAAUUUUAUGCUAGUGGUUUGAAUAAUGCAGUUGCAAAAUUAAAGUAUCACUAAAAGAAAAUGAAAUAUUUUAAUAUUGAUAUACAUUCAUUUUAAUAAACACU
rnacentral:lncRNA from 10 species